rnacentral:rRNA from 1 species
GACGAACGCUGGCGGCGUGCUUAACACAUGCAAGUCGAGCGGAAAGGCCACUUCGGUGGUACUCGAGCGGCGAACGGGUGAGUAACACGUGAGUAAUCUGCCCCUCACUUUGGGAUAGCCACCGGAAACGGUGAUUAAUACCGGAUAUGACCAUAUGUCGCAUGGCGUGUGGUGGAAAGUUUUUCGGUGAGGGAUGUGCUCGCGGCCUAUCAGCUUGAUGGUGAGGUAAUGGCUCACCAUGGCUUCGACGGGUAGCCGGCCUGAGAGGGUGACCGGUCACACUGGGACUGAGACACGGCCCAGACUCCUACGGGAGGCAGCAGUGGGGAAUAUUGGACAAUGGGCGGAAGCCUGAUCCAGCAACGCCGCGUGAGGGAUGACGGCCUUCGGGUUGUAAACCUCUUUCAGUACCGACGAAGCGCAAGUGACGGUAGGUACAGAAGAAGCAUCGGCCAACUACGUG